rnacentral:misc_RNA from 1 species
GAAAUGCGAUAAGUAAUGUGAAUUGCGGAAUUCAGUGAAUCAUCGAAUCUUUGAACGCACCUUGCGCUCCUUGGUAUUCCUUGGAGCAUGCCUGUUUGAGUAUCAUGAAAUCUUCAAAGUAAAUCUUUUGUUAACUCAAUUGGUUUCUACUUUGGUAUUGGAGGUCUUUGCAGCUUCACACCUGCUCCUCUUUGUUCAUUAGCUGGAUCUCAGUGUUAUGCUUGGUUCCACUCGGCGUGAUAAGUUAUCUAUCGCUGAGGACACUGUAAAAGGUGGCCAAGGUAAAUGCAGAUGAACCGCUUCUAAUGGUCCAUUGACUUGGACAAUACUUUUAUGAUCUGAUCUCAAAUCAGGUAGGACUACCCGCUGAACUUAAGC